GACGAACGCUGGCGGCGUGCUUAACACAUGCAAGUGGAGCGACGAACCAGGGCUUGCCCUGGGGCAGAGCCGCGAACGGGUGAGUAACACGUGGGUAACGUGCCCCGAUGAUCGGGACAACCCGGGGAAACCCGGGCUAAUACCGAAUGUGCUCCCCUCACACCAGUGAGGGAUGGAAAGGAAGCUUCGGCCUCCGCAUCGGGAUCGGCCCGCGGCCCAUUAGCUUGUUGGUGAGGUAACGGCNCACCAAGGCUGCGAUGGGUAGCUGGUCUGAGAGGACGAUCAGCCACACUGGGACUGAGACACGGCCCAGACUCCUACGGGAGGCAGCAGUGGGGAAUCUUGCGCAAUGCGCGAAAGCGCGACGCAGCAACGCCGCGUGGGGGAA
rnacentral:rRNA from 1 species